GCCGUCAUCGUCUAGCGGUUAGGACAUCGCCCUCUCAAGGCGGAGAUCACGGGUUCAAUUCCCGUUGGCGGCA
rnacentral:tRNA from 1 species